CUGGUUGAUCCUGCCAGUAGUCAUAUGCUUGUCUUAAAGACUAAGCCAUGCAUGUCUAAGUAUAAGUAUUAUACAGCGAAACUGCGAAUGGCUCAUUAAAACAGUUAUAGUUUAUUCGAUUAUUUUCACCUACAUGGAUAACCGUAGUAAUUCUAGAGCUAAUACAUGCUGUCAGACCUGACUUAGCGGAAGGGUUGUAUUUAUUAGAUAUAAAACCAAUACCCAGCAAUGGGUUUUGAGAUGAUUCAUAAUAACUGAGCGGACCGAGGUCUCACCUUGGCGAAUCGUUCAAGUUUCUGCCCUAUCAGCUUUCGAUGGUAGUGUAUUGGACUACCAUGGCGAUCACGGGUAACGGGGAAUUAGGGUUCGAUUCCGGAGAGGGAGCCUGAGAAAUGGCUACCACAUCUAAGGAAGGCAGCAGGCGCGUAAAUUACCCAAUCCUAAUUCAGGGAGGUAGUGACAAGAAAUAACAACUCGGACCUCUUUCGAGGUUGCGAGAUUGCAAUGAGAACAAUUUAAACCACUUAUCGAGUAACAAUUGGAGGGCAAGUCUGGUGCCAGCAGCCGCGGUAAUUCCAGCUCCAAUAGCGUAUAUUAAAGUUGUUGCAGUUAAAACGCUCGUAGUUGAAACUUUGGUAGUAAUAAUGGGUUAUCUCUUUGAGUAUGUACCUAUUGUUACUACCAUUAUUCCGAUCUAUGCAAGGGGUAACCUUUGUGUUCUCGGAAUUGUUACUUUGAGAAAAUUAGAGUGUUUCAAGCAGGCGUGAUGCUUUGAAUACUCCAGCAUGGAAUGACAACAAAGGACUCAGCUCCUUCUUGUUGGUUUAAGGAGUUGAGUAAUGAUUAAGAGGAGCAGUCGGGGGUAUUCGUAUUCAGUCGUUAGAGGUGAAAUUCUUAGAUUGACUAAAGACGAACUACUGCGAAGGCAUCUACCAUGGAUGUUUUCAUUAAUCAAGAACGAAAGUUAGGGGAUCGAAGAUGAUCAGAUACCAUCGUAGUCUUAACCUUAAACUAUGCCGACUAGAUAUCGGAAGUUGUCAAUCAAAUGACUCUUUCGGAACCUUAUGAGAAAUCACAAGUCUUUGGGUUCUGGGGGAAGUAUGAUCGCAAGGUUGAAACUUAAAGGAAUUGACGGAAGGGCACCACCAGGAGUGGAGCCUGCGGCUUAAUUUGACUCAACACGGGAAAACUCACCAGGCUCAGACAUAUGCGGGAUUGACAGAUUGAGAGCUCUUUCUUGAUUCUAUGGGUGGUGGUGCAUGGCCGUUCUUAGUUGGUGGAGUGAUUUGUCUGGUUAAUUCCGAUAACGAACGAGACUUUACCCUGCUAAAUAGACACUAUAGUUCUAUCUAUAGCUGGACUUCUUAGAGGGACUUUGCACGUCUAGUGCAAGGAAGGAAAGCAAUAACAGGUCUGUGAUGCCCUUAGAUACUCUGGGCCGCACGCGCGCUACACUGAAGCAUUCAACGAGUGUUUCCUGACUUGAAGGAGUUGGGUAAUCUUUUGAGUAUGCUUCGUGAUGGGGAUUGACCAUUGUAAUUAUUGGUCAUGAACGAGGAAUUCCUAGUAAGCAUAAGUCAUUAACUUGUGCUGAUUACGUCCCUGCCCUUUGUACACACCGCCCGUCGCAUCAAUCGAUUGGAUAAUUCGGUGAAUGAUUCGGAUUGAAUUGUCAUUGGCAACAAUUUCAAUUUAAGAAGUCUUGUGAACCCAAUUAUCUAGAGAAUGGUCAAGUCGUAACAUGGUAUCUGUAGGUGAACCUGCA
rnacentral:rRNA from 1 species